AUGAGUGCCAGCGGGAUAAGGAUACCUGUGGUGAUCACUCCAUCUGUAACAAUGUAAUAGGAAGCUAUAGCUGUACCUGCCAACCAGGAUUCACAACUAGGACCAUCUCUCAUCUGUCCACUAACGGAAGCAAAUUUGGUUGUGAUGAUAUUGAUGAGUGCCAGCGGGAUAAGGAUAUCUGUGGUGAUCACUCCAUCUGUAACAAUGCAAUAGGAAGCUAUAGCUGUACCUGCCAACCAGGAUUCACAACUAGGACCAUCUCUCAUCUGUCCACUAACGGAAGCAAAUUUGGUUGUGAUGAUAUUGAUGAGUGCCAGCGGGAUAAGGAUAUCUGUGGUGAUCACUCCAUCUGUAACAAUGCAAUAGGAAGCUAUAGCUGUACCUGCCCACCGGGAUUCACAACUAGGACCAUCUCUCAUCUGUUCACUAACGGAAGCAAUUUUGGUUGUGAUGAUAUUGAUGAGUGCCAGCGGGAUAAGGAUAUCUGUGGUGAUCACUCCAUCUGUAACAAUGCAAUAGGAAGCUAUAGCUGUACCUGCCCACCGGGAUUCACAACUAGGACCAUCUCUCAUCUGUCCACUAAC